UUCGCAAUGCCCGAAAGGGUGACGAUGCGACGCCGCGUGAGCGAAGAAGGCCCUAGGGUUGUAAAGCUCUGUCGAGGGUUAUGAAAUAUAGAUGGGUUAAUACCCCAUUUAUUUGACAAAAGCCCAAAAGGAAGCCACGGCUAACUCUGAGCCAGCAGCCGCGGUAAUACAGAGGUGGCGAGCGUUGUUCGGUAUUAUUGGGCGUAAAGAGCACGUAGGUGGUUUUGUAAGUCAGGUGUGAAAGCCUUCUGUUCAAAGGAAGAACGGCAUCUGAAACUGCAGAUCUUGAGUGUAGGAGGGGAGAGUGGAACUUCCGGUGGAGCGGUGAAAUGCGUAGAUAUCAGAAGGAACGUCGGCGGCGAAAGCGACUCUCUGGCCUAUUACUGACACUGAGGUGCGAAAGUUAGGGGAGCAAACGGGAUUAGAUACCCCGGUAGUCCUAACCGUAAACGAUGGGCACUAAGUAGAGGGGUUUU
rnacentral:rRNA from 1 species